UUCCGGUUGAUCCCGCCGGAGGUCACUGCUAUCGGGGUUCGAUUAAGCCAUGCGAGUCGAGAGGGUUCAGACCCUCGGCGGACUGCUCAGUAACACGUGGAUAAUCUGCCCUAUGGUGGAGGAUAACCCCGGGAAACUGGGGAUAAUACUCCAUAAGUCAGGAGUACUGGAAUGUCUCCUAACUGAAAGUUUCGGCGCCAUAGGAUGAAUCUGCGGCCGAUUAGGUAGUUGUUGGGGUAACGGCCCAACAAGCCCGUAAUCGGUACGGGUUGUGGGAGCAAGAGCCCGGAGAUGGAAUCUGAGACACGAUCCCAGGCCCUACGGGGCGCAGCAGGCGCGAAAACUUUACAAUGCAGGAAACUGUGAUAAGGGAACCCCGAGUGCCCGUACACGCGGGCUGUCCCGGUGUUUAAAACACAUCGGAAGAAAGGGCCGGGCAAGACCGGUGCCAGCCGCCGCGGUAAUACCGGCGGCUCGAGUGGUGACCACUUUUAUUGGGCUUAAAGCGUUCGUAGCUUGAUUUUUAAGUCUCUUGGGAAAUCUCACGGCUUAACUGUGAGGCGUCUAAGAGAUACUGGGAAUCUAGGGACCGGGAGAGGUAAGAGGUACUUCAGGGGUAGAAGUGAAAUUCUGUAAUCCUUGAGGGACCACCGAUGGCGAAGGCAUCUUACCAGAACGGCUUCGACAGUGAGGAACGAAAGCUGGGGGAGCGAACGGGAUUAGAUACCCCGGUAGUCCCAGCCGUAAACUAUGCGCGUUAGGUGUGCCUGUAACUACGAGUUACCGGGGUGCCGAAGUGAAAACGUGAAACGUGCCGCCUGGGAAGUACGGUCGCAAGGCUGAAACUUAAAGGAAUUGGCGGGGGAGCACCACAACGGGUGGAGCCUGUGGUUUAAUUGGAGUCAACGCCGGG
rnacentral:rRNA from 1 species